CUUUAUAGUUGCCGUCUUCCCCUUUAAAUUUCAAACGCCCAGGUCGCCACCGCCACCUCCAGCGGACUCAACGGCGCCCUAACUUUGUUGCCGAUUUAGAGAGCGAGUUGCCUAUUCACUCUAACUUAAUCUAAAUUUUGAUAUUCUCACCAAUCACAUCCAAGUUGAGCAGCCACUCUUCUUUGUUGGCCCAAGACCCAGUUACAAAUAUCAACCCAAUUACAAGAUGUUGGUUCAAGCCCAAGACCCGGAUCCAGACUCGGUUACAAGACCCGACCCGUUUAGAUGUUGCCUCCUACAUGAAGUCAGUGAUCAACACCUCAUGCCUCCCAUGUGAAACUUGCAAUAAAUACUCCAAAUUCAAUAAAAAAAUCAAUCAUCCACCGAAAAAUUGCCAAAGUCAAAACCAAACACAUAACCCCGAAAAUCAGGGGAUGAUUUCACCUAAACACGUUAUUGUCAUACCAAACACAAGGAAAUUAAGAGGCAAGGACAAGAGUGAUUUGGUGAUAAAAGGAGGAGGCAAUCAUUCCAGUAAGGGGAUCGAGAAUCAUUUGAAAAAAUAAAAAAGGAUAUUUUUAUAAUCAGGG